AUAUCCUUUAGGGGAUGUCACGGCUUUGGUUAAGUUUUCCUUUUUACUCCUUAGCUGCUAGCGCAGUUUUAAUGAUAGCUGUUUCACAUGUGCAUGCGGCACUCAUGUGGGCAGAGCUGUCAGAAGACUGUAAAGUCUCAACCAUCCUGCGAUUGCUUGCACCUGAGGAAGACGGAAUGACGAUGUUCUGCGCCAUGGUAUUCCUUUGCUCAUUCAUACACUGAUUUAUGGCUCGUUGUUUUCCUUUGGCUCAAGGUGACAUCAGUACCUACAAAAAGGCAAAUAUACGUGAGAAUGCUUUUAUAGCAAAAUCCUUGUUUGCAAAGGUAAUGAUGUUCUAAAACUGGAAA
rnacentral:lncRNA from 1 species